rnacentral:rRNA from 1 species
UGGGGAAUAUUGCACAAUGGGCGCAAGCCUGAUGCAGCCAUGCCGCGUGUAUGAAGAAGGCCUUCGGGUUGUAAAGUACUUUCAGUCGGGAGGAAGGUGGUAAGGUUAAUAACCUUGGCAAUUGACGUUACCGACAGAAGAAGCACCGGCUAACUCCGUGCCAGCAGCCGCGGUAAUACGGAGGGUGCAAGCGUUAAUCGGAAUUACUGGGCGUAAAGCGCACGCAGGCGGUUGAUUGAGUCAGAUGUGAGAACCCCGGGCUCAACCUGGGAAAUGCAUGUGAGACUGGCAAGCUUGAGUGUCGUAGAGGGGGGGAGAAGUCCAGGUGUAGCGGUGGAAUGCGUAGAGAUCUGGAGGAAUACCGGUGGCGAAGGCGGCCCCCUGGACGAAGACUGACGCUCAGGUGCGAAAGAGUGGGGAGCAAACAGG